AUCAAGAUAAUCAGAUAGAUUGGUAAACUAUAUGCUCGUCCAUAUGAUGGAGACAACUAGUCUCGUAGCUGCUCGUGUGGGGACACUAGGGCUACAGUGCAGGUGCUCAUUGGAGAAUGAGUUUACUGAAUAAUUUGCUCAUGGAAUGCUAGAUGGUUGAUAAAAUCUCAUUGUCAAACAGUGAUUCUUCCAUCCCAGUGGUUAGCCG
rnacentral:lncRNA from 1 species